UACGUAGGGUGCGAGCGUUAAUCGGAAUUACUGGGCGUAAAGCGUGCGUAGGCGGUUCGUUAAGUUCGUUGUGAAAGCCCCGGGCUCAACCUGGGAAUGGCAAUGGAAACUGGCGAGCUUGAGUGUGGCAGAGGGGGGUGGAAUUCCGCGUGUAGCAGUGAAAUGCGUAGAGAUGCGGAGGAACACCGAUGGCGAAGGCAGCCCCCUGGGCCAACACUGACGCUCAGGCACGAAAGCGUGGGGAGCAAACAGG
rnacentral:rRNA from 1 species